UACGUAGGUAGCGAGCGUUAUCCGGAAUUAUUGGGCGUAAAGGGUGCGUAGGCGGCUUGUCAAGUUUAAGGUGAAAGCCUGCGGCUCAACCCCAUUAAGCCGUAGAUACUGGCAAGCUCGAGUACUGGAGAGGGUAGUGGAAUUCUAUGUGUAGCGGUAAAAUGCGUAGAUAUAGGGAAGAACACCGGUGGCGAAGGCGGCUACCUAGACAGUAACUGACACUGAGGCACGAAAGCGUGGGUAGCAAAUAGG
rnacentral:rRNA from 1 species